rnacentral:misc_RNA from 2 species
CUAUCCCCAUGUGAUUUUAAUAGCUUCUUAGGAGAAUGACGUAGCAUGCUACGCG